rnacentral:lncRNA from 1 species
GGAAUAAGGUUUGUUCAGCAUGAAGAAGAUGAGACCUUGGGGGAAAUCUUAGCAAAACUGGAAGGGCAGUUAGAAAGAAGACAGCACUGGAUGUUACUCAACAGCUGACAUUGAAGUUGGCCCUGUUCUGAUCAGGGAGCUAGGCUGGAGCACUCCAGAGGCUCCUUCCAACUUGAAUUAUUCUAUGAGUCUCUGAAAAACAAGGAUAACGGGUCAUAAUUUUAGGUGGGGAAUAGAUGAAUAGAGAAAAAAAUGAGCAACAGAGUCCAUUGGUGGGUCCUGCCUCCUGCACUGGAGCUGAAGAAGGGAUUUGGCAGCAUAAGUGUCCAGAGAGAUGGUACAAGUGCUUGGUGAUGUCAGAAGCAAGUGGAGCUGGUCAGAACAUGCAGAUCUGAAUUCACAUCAUAUUUGCUUUAAUAUGUAUAUAUAUAUAUAGCUCGAGAUUAAAAUUAAAGGUUUCAAAAUUUUUAAUGAAAAUUCUGAAAAAUGUAGAGCUGGGAAUUGUUUGUUUCAUAAGGCCAGAGCUUCAGUUUGAAUUCAGUUCUUUCUGUUGCAGUAAACACAUUCUGGUACAGCAACAAAUCAUUGCAAAGUUCAGUUCAGUUUUAUUAUCUUUGUUCUGGAGAAGAUGAGGAAAUGUUUAAAUCAGCCAUUGCUAAAUAAUAUCCGCCUCAGUUUUACUAAAGUAAAACAUAUCAAAAGUAAAUGUUUUAGGCUGUUGAAACUAAUAAAUAUUUUCAUGUUUUGGCACAUCAAGUAGUGCUGGAGCACAGGAAGAAAAUAAGACAAAAUAAUGUAAUUAACUUCUUGAAAUUCCAGAAGACAACUAUGAGACGGCAGACAAGCUAUAGCAUUGCUGAACUGGACCCAUCACCCCUAAAUCAAGCUCCUUUCCUGCUUGGGAGCAAUGCUGCCCAGCGAGAUGAAGAGCCAGAAAGCCUCCUGCUUCCUCGCACAGCUCAUGAGGAAGCUUUCUAGUGGCUACAACAGAGGUUUAAUGACAUCACAUGUUUGUGUGCUGCAGAACGUGUCACUUCAUUUGGUUUGCAUCACGCACUUCCUACCCGCCUUCAGCAGACCUCUGGCCUCACCCACACGAGGGACAAUUCAACUGGAAUAUCCACGCUCCUGCUUUGGAGCAACCCCUGCGUGGGAUAGCUUCGUUAACACCAGCAGAGGCUCUGCUGCUGUGGACGCUCAUGUUUUGCUCUAGGAAUGGUACCAGAAACACAUAUGUUUCAAGCUGUUUCGUCUGUUUCAAGCUGUCUAUCCCCAACAGGACACAAACCUAAAGAAGUCUGAGCCCGAGCUGAACUUUUGAACCGUAUUAUAUCUGAAUGGACUAGAGAUUAGGUCAAGGGAAUUUACAACCCAUCUUUCAUCGAGAGAUGAGGCCUCUCUUCCUUGUUUAUUAUUCCUACAGCAUUUACAUUUUUAGAAAUAAUAUUGAUUAAAAAAAAAAUAAAAAUCUGCUGUUAUUGGAACUGUCA